AUGAAAGUCUUCCAGCACCAGCUAAGGGAGGUCUACUGCAACAAAGAAGAUCAUUAAUCUUUAGAACCUCUUCUGCUGCCCCAGCUGAGGAAAUUACAACAGCAGGUACACGACCAAGUUGGAGAAGCAUGACUGGGCCAUAUUUCUUGGAGAGUUGCCACAAGGAGCGGUGAGGCAAUCCUCCAAGUUGAUGAAGGUUGCCUAUAAUUGGAAACUUGUGAGGGCUUGGUGGAAGAUGCUCGUUUUCUCUUUCAACUCCCAUCUUUCUUUUAAUUAGAAGUAGAAAAGGGAGAAGGAAAACAGGCAUCCACAAGGAUAAGGUAUAGAGAACCAUUGUAUUUUACUUAA
rnacentral:misc_RNA from 1 species